GACGAACGCUGGCGGCGUGCCUAAUACAUGCAAGUCGAGCGCAGGAAGUCAUCCGAACCCUUCGGGGGGACGUUGACGGAAUGAGCGGCGGACGGGUGAGUAACACGUAAAGAACCUGCCCUCAGGUCUGGGAUAACCACGAGAAAUCGGGGCUAAUACCGGAUGGGUCAUCGGACCGCAUGUUCCGAGGAUGAAAGGCGCUCCGGCGUCGCCUGGGGAUGGCUUUGCGGUGCAUUAGCUAGUUGGUGGGGUAAUGGCCCACCAAGGCGACGAUGCAUAGCCGACCUGAGAGGGUGAUCGGACACACUGGGACUGAGACACGGCCCAGACUCCUACGGGAGGCAGCAGUAGGGAAUCUUCCACAAUGGACGAAAGUCUGAUGGAGCAACGCCGCGUGAGCGAUGAAGGCCCUCGGGUCGUAAAGUUCUGUUGUAAGGGAAGAACAAGUGCCGCAGGCAAUGGCGGCACCUUGACGGUACCUUGCGAGAAAGCCACGGCUAACUACGUG
rnacentral:rRNA from 1 species